rnacentral:lncRNA from 10 species
CAUUCUGCUCUUGCCACAGACUUCUUGCCCUCCUUCUUGCCCUCCUCGCCUCCUGUGUGAAACUUCUCCCUUGGCUGCCAUGACACCGCAUGGCUUGGCUCUUCUCUGGACUGCCCCUUUUCUGACCACUGUCUUUCCCAAGGUGGAGAGGGGCAGACAGAGAGAGAGUACUUUAGAGAAAGUCUGGCUGGCUGGUGCCCACCAGGAAGCAGUGCUGUGCUGGGAAGCAAGGCUGGGUACAGAGAGUUAAGGCCAGCCCUCACCAUGGAGUCAGCGCGGGGAAGUGAGAACACUGUGGACAACAGCUCCAGCUCUGCCCCAGGUCUGGCUCUAUUGUUUGCCAGCAACAAGACUUCAGGGAGGUGAGUGCACUGCAAGAAGGUGGCCAUCUGCAAGCCAGGAAGAGGGCCCUUGCCAGAAACUGAACUGCCUGGCGUCUUGAUCUCGGACUUCCCAGCCUCCAGAACUGUGAGAAAAUAAAUGUCUUGUUUAAACCACCUAGUCUAUGGUAUUUUGCUACAGCAGCCCAAGCAGACUAAUACACAUAC